UACGUAGGCAGCAAACGUUGUUCGGAAUUACUGGGCGUAAAGAGUGUGUAGGCGGUUUCGUAAGUUUGGUGUGAAAUCUCCCGGCUUAACUGGGAGGGUGCGCCGAAAACUGCGAGGCUUGAGUACUGGAGAGGAGAGCGGAAUUCCUGGUGUAGCGGUGAAAUGCGUAGAUAUCAGGAGGAACACCGGCGGUGUAGACGGCUCUCUGGACAGUCACUGACGCUGAGACACGAAAGCGUGGGUAGCAAACAGG
rnacentral:rRNA from 1 species